GCGCAGCAGGCGAGAAUACUCCACAAUGCGCGAAAGCGUGAUGGGGGGAAUCUGAGUGGCCUACUUAGUAGGCCUUUUGCCAAGUGUAGCACGCUUGGCGAAUAAGUGCUGGGCAAGACCGGUGGCAGCCGCCACGGUAAUACCGGCAGCACGAGUGGUGUUCACGAUUAUUGGGCUUAAAGCGCUCGUAGCCGACCUGUGCCGUCUCGUGUGAAAUAUUGGUGCUCAACACCAAUGCGUGCAUGAGAUACCCACAGGUUAGGGAGCGGGUGAGGUCAGGGGUACUCAUGGGGAAGGGGUUAAAUCCUAUAAUCCUAUGAGGACCAACGGUGGCGAAGGCGCCUGACUAGAACGCAUCCGACGGUGAGAAGCGAAGGCUAGGAGAACGAAUCGGAUUAGAUACCCCCGUAGUCC
rnacentral:rRNA from 1 species